rnacentral:rRNA from 1 species
UGCCGCGUGAAGGAUGAAGGCCCUCUGGAUUGUAAACUUCUUUUAUCUGGGAAGAAAUGCGUUUUUUCUAAUGUGGUUGACGGUACCAGAUGAAUAAGCAACUCCGUGCCAGCAGCCGCGGUAAUACGGAGGGUGCAAGCGUUAUCCGGAUUCACUGGGUUUAAAGGGUGCGUAGGCGGGUAGGUAAGUCCGUGGUGAAAUCUCCGAGCUUAACUCAGAAACUGCCAUGGAUACUAUUUGUCUUGAAUAUUGUGGAGGUGAGCGGAAUAUGUCAUGUAGCGGUGAAAUGCUUAGAUAUGACAUAGAACACCAAUUGCGAAGGCAGCUUACUACACGAAUAUUGACGCUGAGGCACGAAAGCGUGGGGAUCAAACAGGAUUAGAUACCCUGGUAGUCCACGCCCUAAACGAUGAUUACUCGACAUCGGCGAUACACUGUUGGUGUCUGAGCGAAAGCAUUAAGUAAUCCACCUGGGAAGUACGAUCGCAAGAUUGAAACUCAAAGGAAUUGACGG